GAGAUGUCCGACGUGACGUUCCUCGUGGAAGGGAGGCUCUUUUACGCACACAAGGUCCUCCUGGUGACGGCGUCCAACAGGUUCAAGACGUUGAUGACCAACAAGUCAGAGCAAGAUGGCGACGGUGGCAAGACCAUCGAAAUCAGCGACAUGAAGUACGCCAUCUUCCAGCUGAUGAUGCAAUAUCUCUACUAUGGAGGGACAGAAUCCAUGGAAAUCCC